UACGUAGGUGGCAAGCGUUAUCCGGAAUUAUUGGGCGUAAAGCGCGCGCAGGUGGCUUCUUAAGUCUGAUGUGAAAGCCCACGGCUCAACCGUGGAGGGUCAUUGGAAACUGGGAGACUUGAGUGCAGAAGAGGAAAGUGGAAUUCCAUGUGUAGCGGUGAAAUGCGUAGAGAUAUGGAGGAACACCAGUGGCGAAGGCGACUUUCUGGUCUGUAACUGACACUGAGGCGCGAAAGCGUGGGGAGCAAACAGG
rnacentral:rRNA from 1 species